AAAAAGACUCAUCAGUCACUGCAACUGUGAUGUGAUAUAAGGAUUAGUUCAUAGUAGAUAAUGUAGCAUUCCAGGAGAGAGUUCUAAUGCUGUCUCAAGGCUGAAAUAUUACAUUACACACGAUUUGUAACAGAUUCAAGAGAAGGGAAAUACUUUGGUUAUGAUUAUCUCAAAGCUACUGGUCUCUCAAACAAGGUUUGCAGCUGUCCAGGGAAACCCCUGCACUUUCCCAGGGUCAAAUCAUCUCUGAAGAACGGAAAGCAUUUGUAGUCUGUGCAGUAACAUAACUUAAAGAAAACAGGAGAGAAAAAAGAAGAAUGUAUUUUUUUCCCAAAAUUGCCUGAAGAACAGAAAUUCUAGAUUGUGAUUGGAAGAUGGAAAAAUCAAGGUUUCAUCUGGAGUAUCCUACAAUCAGAAGGAAAGCAGCUAGGACAACAACUUUAAGAAUUAAGUCCUACAUAUCUUCGAGCUACAAAAGAAACAGGAAGAUAAGGACAAUUUUUCCAAGGCCAAGACUUGCUAGCAGGAUUGGCUCAUGCAUCUUCAUGAUCCGAGUUUGCUACAUUCAAAGGAAGAGGAACAAUUGUCAGACUGCUGGUGCCUGUUACAAGCUCUGCAUGUAAGAGCAGUGGCCCUCCUGCCUGUGCCUGGGAGGCCACAGUGUGCUCCUCCUGCUCCCUCUCUGGUCUGGAUCCUGGAUCAUCACACACUGAUCCAAGGAUAACACGGGAGUGACAGAAGACAAACACAGGUAGGCAGAUGGUCAGGAGGAAGAGGUGCAUCACAAAUAUGUGCAGGGGAAAGCAAACUGUUAGGAAGUCAUUAAGCCUUGGGUAUUCCACAUUGUCCCAGAGUAAACUCCCUCCCUAGAAAUCUGUUUUUCUGAUUAUUUCAGAUAUGACCCCCAUAAGAUUUAGAGUGGGCCUUGGUCAACUUCAGCUUUCUGUUGCAAAAUCUGCAAAGAACGUGAUGGGAAAUGGAAGCACUUAUACCCAGUUUGAGGCUGUCUCUCUCAAGCUUGGCUCUUACCAGCUCAGAUGAGAACACACCAAAGUGGAGUUCAGGUGUGGAGCUUGAGCCUGGUGCUAUGCAGCACUGCUGUCAUGAACUUCAUUUCAUUAAUUUUUACUAAAAUCAGCUUGUUUUUCUUGCAGCUUAAAUAGAGAAGUAAGAGGAAACAGAAACAAACACUCCUGUCCCACUCCUUCAGUCCUGGGGGUCAGAGUAUGACAGCCUUAGUGUGACCACACCAAUCCCACAUACACAUAAGGGUCACCACCGAUUUUAAACGUGUUCUUCAAAUGCCAGGUAGAGAUCAGAUCCCACCUGUGCAUCCCAGCUCUGCCCACAGCAGCACUUUUCCCCCCACAAGGCACUAAAUUACUCCAGCACUGAGAUAACAAAACCAGUGCUACCCCCUCCAAGGUGAACGCAGAGCCUGGAUUUUGCAGAAGAGUAAGCUUCCACCUCUCACCUCCCAUCAUAACCCAUUUAAUUCUGUAAUCCUGUUGUGCAGGCACCAUCUGUUUCCCCAAAGGGAAGGUGCCUGCUCUUUAAGGAAUGUAGAAAAAUUGAGGUUUUGAGAACACAAGUACUCCUUAUCUGUAUAGUUAUAUGCCCUGUAAAUCUCACCAAUACCCAUCCUUUCUAUUUCAAGUUUCUUAAAGUUGAACCACGACAAAAGAAAAAAAAGAAGGAACAUUAAGAAUUCAUCCAAUUCUUGAUGAUCUGAUGGAGAAAAAGAAGAAAUCAAAUUACUAGAAAGCAUUUGAGUGCACAACACUUUACUGAGGAAGUAUCAUUGGGUCUCUCUGGCCUUUAGAAUAAACCAUUACCUUUCAAUGAAAAGUUUAGUUCAUAUUGUGUCAGGAAAACCCUUAUCUAUUACUUGGAACCAAGCCCUGGCUGCCAAUUGAUUCUGGCCCAUGAAGGCUCCAAAUGAGAUGGGCUUUGAGUCAGAAUUUGUUCACAUGCAGAGAAACAUCAGUAAAACCAUCCAGUCAGGAUUUGUGUCACAACAAGAUCUGUGUUACAAAUAUGAUUAUUUGCACAAUGAAGGAGGAAGACAAAGGAAAAGUGGAACUAAUUUUCUUUAUGGACUUUAUUCUUCCCCUUUUAUUCAUAUUUGAAGUUCCUUCUUGCCUUAUCUUGUCUGCUUUGACUGUAAGGUCUUCUGGGCUUUUUGCACAUUUUCAGUGUCCACCACAAGAUCAACUUAUGAGACUUUGAAAUAUUACUAGGGCUCAUCUCAGUUCCAAUUCCAAACCUGCCUUGAUGGAUUAUAUCCAAAAAUACUUAAUGGAUUAGUGAUAUUCUGAUGUCAAUUUUAAAUAAUUUUCAUCUACAGCUUGUUUCACUAAUCCUAAUGAAUCAAUGGCUUCAGAACACUGAACAAACUCAAAAUACAGCAAAGUUGUUUGCCUGCUGGAAGAAUAAAAGUAAAGCCAAAUGCUGAUUCUGAACACUUUUCACCAAGAGGCUAAAAUACAAGGGUUUGCUCAUUCUUUUCAGAAAACACAGUGGCUUUGGUCAAAGGCUGCUUGGCAUUCUGGAUCUGAAAAGUGCACAGCUGACCCCUGCUGAUCUCUAGUUACGACAGCAGAAAUCAAGAAAAUGCAGCAUUGGCAUCUGCCAACUGCACUUGGGCAUCCACGACAGAAGAUGAACCAGUAUGAGUUGACAGCCUUGAAAUAUUUAUCUGAUCCAUAUUAUUUUCAUCUUAGGCCUUCAUUUAAGCCUGCAAUUUAGAUGAUGACAUGUUUCUUUCCUUUGCAGAAAUGCAGACAAGAUAUUUUGCACAUGAAAAGUUUGACAUUAGCAGAGUGAAUUAUAGGGAUAUUGAUGUACUCUGAUUUCUCAAAAGGUUACUGUGAUCUUUUGUUGAUUAAGAGACAUGAUGUCACUAAGAUAAAUGCUUCAGUUGCUAUUAACAACAUCUCCCACUGAAACAUCAAACAUUUUUACACAAAGUGCUGGGUAACCUAAGGAAAGGUUACUUCUCAUGUCAGAGAAGGAAAUCUGUAACCUUAAUGAUUUUGCUUUGCACUACAGUAGAAAUGUAAAUGCUUAAUUUAAGCAACACUGAUGCACCAUUCUUCACAGCUCAGAAAUCAAGCAUUAAAAGCCAC